AAAUAAUGAAGGCAAUGACAUCUCAGUAUGAUGAGCUACAUCAGCUGUAUCCAAACCUGUCCCUUCUGUCAGCGAUCGCGCUCACGAUACCAGUGGCAAGUGUCAAUUGUGAGCGAGAUUUUUCUGCCAUGAAUAGGAUAAAGACAGACCUGCGAAACAGGCUGCAGGGCAAGAGACUUACAGCCUGCAUGAAGAUCAGCAUCAAUGGCCCACCAGUGUCUAAGUUCAAUUACAGCAGGGCGCUGGAACUGUUCUUUGCACAGCCACGCAGAAUUGCAUGCACUGAUGCCUCUUGUCAGCUGUGCCGCAAAUAAGAUCCAAAAAAGGAACUGUAAAUAGUUGAAUUUGCAUACAAAAGUUAAGUGUAUUGUCCAUUAUUUGUAUUUAAUUUGCACUUUUCUUUAAUUUUAUUUUGUAGUGUCUGCAUGUUUGCACAACAUUUGUACCUACUGUUGUUUAUUUAUAUGGAAAUAAACAGUCGUUUAUUUCAU